CAAUAGCGUAUAUUAAAGUUGUUGCGGUUAAAAAGCUCGUAGUUGGAUUUCUGCUGAGGACGAUCGGUCCGCCCACUGGGUGAGUAUCUGGCUCGGCCUUGGCAUCUUCUUGGAGAACGUUGCUGCACUUGACUGUGUGGUGCGGUAUCCAGGACUUUUACUUUGAGGAAAUUAGAGUGUUUCAAGCAGGCGCACGCCUUGAAUACAUUAGCAUGGAAUAAUAAGAUAGGACCUUGGUUCUAUUUUGUUGGUUUCUAGAGCUGAGGUAAUGAUUAAUAGGGAUAGUUGGGGGCAUUCGUAUUUAACUGUCAGAGGUGAAAUUCUUGGAUCUGUUAAAGACGGACUACUGCGAAAGCAUUUGCCAAGGAUGUUUNCAUUGA
rnacentral:rRNA from 1 species